UGAGAUGCAUCACCUGUGUAAACAAGCGA
rnacentral:piRNA from 1 species